rnacentral:ncRNA from 1 species
UAGUAGAAAUGCAAAAACACAGCUCCGGUUGGUAGUCCGGACACAUAGUAAUAUGUCAGUAACCUUCCCCUCCGGGAUGUCCAGUAUUUCUAAUUUUUUU